CAGCCGCCGCGGGAAUACGUAGGUGGCAAGCGUUGUCCGGAAUUAUUGGGCGCAAAGGGCUCGCAGGCGGUUUCUUAAGUCUGAUGUGAAAGCCCCCGGCUCAACCGGGGAGGGUCAUUGGAAACUGGGAAACUUGAGUGCAGAAGAGGAGAGUGGAAUUCCACGUGUAGCGGUGAAAUGCGUAGAGAUGUGGAGGAACACCAGUGGCGAAGGCGACUCUCUGGUCUGUAACUGACGCUGAGGAGCGAAAGCGUGGGGAGCGAACAGGAUUAGAUACCCCGGUAGUCCCUGUCUCUUAUAC
rnacentral:rRNA from 1 species